GGGGGUAGGGGUAGCUAUA
rnacentral:siRNA from 1 species